rnacentral:rRNA from 1 species
GUGUCAGCCGCCGCGGGAAGACAGAGGAUGCAAGCGUUAUCCGGAAGGAUUGGGCGUAAAGCGUCUGUAGGUGGCUUUUCAAGUCCGCCGUCAAAUCCCAGGGCUCAACCCUGGACAGGCGGUGGAAACUACCAAGCUGGAGUACGGUAGGGGCAGAGGGAAGUUCCGGUGGAGCGGGGAAAUGCAUUGAGAUCGGAAAGAACACCAACGGCGGAAGCACUCUGCUGUGCCGACACUGACACUGAGAGACGAAAGCUAGGGGAGCAAAGGGGAUUAGAGACCCCAGCUGUCCUAACCGUAA